rnacentral:rRNA from 1 species
AGUGAACGCUGGCGGUAGGCCUAACAGGUGCAAGUCGAACGGCAGCACAGUAAGAGCUUGCUCUUACGGGUGGCGAGUGGCGUACGGGUGAGGAAUACAUCGGAAUCUACUUUUUCGUGGGGGAUAACGUAGGGAAACUUACGCUAAUACCGCAUACGACCUACGGGUGAAAGCAGGGGAUCUUCGGACCUUGCGCGAUUGAAUGACCCGAUGUCGGAUUAGCUAGUUGGCGGGGUAAAGGCCCACCAGGGCGACGAUCCGGAACUGGUCUGAGAGGAUGAUCAGCCACCCUGGAACUGAGACACGGGCCAGACUCCUACGGGAGGCAACAGUGGGGAAUAUUGGACAAUGGGCGGAAGCCUGAUCCAGCCAUACCGCGUGGGUGAAGAAGGCCUUCGGGUUGUAAAGCCCUUUUGUUGGGAAAGAAAAGCAGCAGGUUAAUACCCCGCUGUUCUGACGGUACCCAAAGAAUAAGCACCGGCUAACUUCGUG